GUGAGGCUAGGAUUUCAUUAUGAUGAAGUCCUUUAUGCCAGGGUGUGGCUUCUACUGUAUGUUUGCCUGAACUUGCUCUUCGGAAGUCUAUGUUAGUACAAAUUCAAUAUCAUCUUUGAUGCUGAUUAGUUUCCAUCAAAGGAAUGGCUGUCCUCCCUUCAAGGGAGGAGGUCAGGACGUGGGGGAAGAUGUCACUGCCACACGAAAAUAGCAUUUGGAGGCAGCAGGUCUGGCUGGAGAAGCAUGAUAAGGGUCCCAUCCACGAAGGAGUUUCAUCUGAUGGGACCGGGAAAGGAGCCCUUUCUUCUGUGAUACCUGCCCUCUGAAACAUCAUCCCUCCUCCUGAGGAGAAAUAUGGGAAGAAAGAGGAAGAAGAAAGAGGAAGAAAAAGGAGUCUGUGACAGAAACAGUAUUUGAACGGGAGAUAAUCUCAAUUCUUACCACAACCUCUUAGCCAUGAAGCUCCUGCAGCAGCAAUUAGCAACAUGAAGAUUGAGUCCAAUUUAACUAGAGCUUCCCAAGUAGCUCCAAGCAAGCUUAUGCUGAAGUUGCUUAUUUAUUCCCAGUUCUUUAUUCAUUUGAAACCCUAACGGACAGCUCAAUCAGUCAAGUAUCUACAACCUAAAGUUUAUAUGAGGCUACACCUAAGAGAACUAACUCAUGUCAUAUGUCUUUAAUCAAGGCAUUCUGCAGUUCAAGAUAAACAAUAAUUUAUAAUGAGAUUUUAAGGAACUGGAAGUAAGUCCCAUAGGCACUAAACCAUAAGGAAAUGCUGUAACAUUUGAACUUUCUCCAUGUUGGGACAGAAGCUUGACAACAGAUCCUUGUUUUAUUUCUCACCUCAGCCAUUUCUCCAAGAAACUAAUAAAAAGUUCAAAGCCACUUCCACUGAACAAAAAACACUCUGGGAAUAGAGGUUGGGCUCACAUGCUGAAAAUAUACUGGAAUAAUCAGUUCUUGCUUUCUACGUUUGGUCUGUUAGUCUUUCGUCAAAAUAUGUCCCUCAUCCUAACACAGAUUAGUUGCUAACAUACUAUUUCACAAAACAUGGAUAUUUUUCUGCAUUAGAAUAUUAAGUACUUGCUUUUUUGGUCAAUUUUAUUUGGUAGACUGAGACUGAAGUUCUAUAUAUCUAUGCCUUUCUGUGUAUGAGAUAGAGAGAAAAUGUGGACACAUUUGCACAUUUAUUAUUUUAGGGAACUUCUAUCCACGCUUAUAUGAAUGUCAUAACUAUACUUUUAUGACUUUAAUUUAACACAUGAGUGGUUUCCUGGGUAAACUUUCACUUUAAUCUCACUUUCACACCAUACAAUAAUAUGAUACCCUCACACAGCCCAUUAUGAAGAAAAGCUCAGGACAGCUUUCAUAUUCGUGCAUGUUUCAAGUAUUGAGUGAAAAGUCUGCAAUGACUCAGUUACAUUGCAAAAGAGAACAUUUAAAAGAACCGGUUGAAAUCACUGUUUUUAAGCAACAUUGUUGCUGUGAAAAAAUAGAUUAAAAUUGCAUUAGUGUGGCUAACAUAACACAGACUGAAUUAACACAUGCUGUAAAUCAGGGGUCCCCAACCCCCAGUCUGUGAACUGGUACCGGGCCACAGCAUGCCAGCAACUGGUUCACACAAACAAGCAAAGCCCCAUUCAUGGGAUGCAGGCAGCAUACAAAACCACACACUCUCUGGUCCGUGGAAAAACCUUUCUCCACGGUUUAGGGUCCCUGGUGCUCUAAAGGUUGGGGACCUCUGCUGUAAAUGAUUGAAAUUAGCUUCACUGAGGCCAGAUCUAGUGUUGUAACAGGAACAAAGUUGUGGCUAUGAUAAUCCUUGUGUGCUUAGUCCUCCUAUUCAUCUAAUGAGAACAGUUUAUAAUGUGAUAUCAUUGUCAAUCCAAUCUGACUUCCAAUGAAUUCAAAAAACAGUGGUAAAACUUUAUCACAAUAAUAGUCUCUUAUUUGCCAAAAAACAGUGAGUAUAACUUGAGCUACUGCAGUCAGACAUAGCUACCUAAUAUUGGAAGACAAUUUAUUUGUUUGCUUGUUUGUUGAAUUUAUAUAGCCACUGUCAACUGUCCAGUUGGCGAAUCCAGAAAAAGAAAUUCCUAGGACAUUAUUUGACCAAGAGUAUAAACUUUAUUGAACAAACCUCAUUGGCACAGAAGAAGCAAAACCAGCUCUGGAUUUCCCACACAAAAACAAGCAUAGAUAAUCCCCCCCUUUCCCUACUGUCUGCCCUCAAUCCAUUACAUUCACCAAUCACUUCUGUUCAUUUUGUUAUGGGAACCAGCCAGCCAUGCUGGGACAUCUGCUCGGUGUGUCCUUGAAAUGGAAGCAAUGUCUCACGAGAGCCAACGGAUGCUUGGAUGCCAUUCCCCCCACCCUUGAAUUCCAUUCCACCUCCCUCCCUUUUAUUGUCAGGCUGUGAGCGAAGCCAAAUGUAAGUAAAAAUGCGAGUCAGUCUUGACAGCCACCUACUCGCUCACCGCAACUCUAGGCGGCUUACAAAAGUUCCUUGUCUUUGCUUGGUGAACUGACUGACUGAUUCUUGGAUAUUGCCCAAUUGUUGACUGGAUUAGUAUAUUUACAAAAGACAAUUUCUCAAGUUUUGUGAGCACAGCUAUAUUUUCCUGGGGGAAAAUGUUAUAUCUGUUUUAGUUUCAGCAUCUGCAGUCUUCUUGGACAAAAUGCUCUUAGCGCCCUAUUCCUUGAGCGUAUUCAUCUUGGAAAGUUGCUACUCUCUUUUUAUUCACUCUGGGUCCAAUUCAAAAGAUAGAGAUUGAAGAACUUGCUGUUUCUUUUCUCCCUCUUCUGAUUAUUUGCUUUAUUGGAAAAGAUAAAGGAAGAGAAUAUAGCAGGGAAGAGCGGACAAGUCAGGAGAUCUCAAGAAUUCAACUUCCAAUCUCUUACUAAGAUAAGUUGUUUCCAGUUUCUAACCUUGGUAGGCUUAUAUCAGGAUAUAAUCAUAAGCAAACUGAAAAAGAGAGGGGGGGGAGACCUUCUCCACUGUGUUAAAUGAGGAACAAUGACUGGAACCUUUGAAGGACAUGCUAUACUCCAUAUUCGAAAGGGCCAUGGCUAAGAAGCAAAAGAGACUAGGGCAAAACUCAAAGUUGAUUUCAUUCUAUAUCAUUUAAUUGUACUAGAUGGAGAACAUUUGUAAAUAAUACAAUUUAUAAAAAAAAAUGCAAGCAUUUUUCUCCUUCUGUUACAAAUCAGCAGCAAUGUUUAGAGAAACUGCCCCUAAAACUUGUAUGGACUGCAGAUUGUGCACUCAUGCUAAUUAAGUAAAGCUAUCUCUUUAAAGGACAGAAAUUGUUCCAAAUAAUACUCUUUAAUGAGCAGAUGUGCAUACAAAGCUUCUUGGUAGAAGAUACUCUAUUUCUGCUUGUUAAUAUAACUAGCAGUUGCUUAUUUUAAGCUCUUGAGAGCUUGGAAAUAAUAAAUAUUAUACUAUUUCUGUCCACAUUGUGUCAUUUUUCUAAUCAAGUUCACCAAAUUGGUGAUAAAUCAGAUGAUGUUAAAUCUUACAUAUACUCUUUGUAUAUAAAACCAUUUAUACAAACAACCCAGAAAUUUGCCUUUACUGGGAGAAAUACGCUAAUACAACGUCAUCCACUAUUACAAGUAGUAGUGCUGCCAAAUCACUUGUUUAAAUAUUUGAUCUCUUAUAACCCUCAUGUUCCCUCCACCGCUGUUUGGGUACAUUAUGUCAUCAGAUUCUGGAAGUUUAUAAAUUCAGUAGAAUAAAAGCUAUGGUUAAUCUGAUUCAGCUGAGGAGGUAGAAAAGAAGAUUUCAUUAAGCUUGCAAUAUAUAACUGUUGAUCAAAUGCUAUGUUUAAAUGCAGAAAUAUCUUUUUUGAGGGACCUAUCUAUAUUUAUAUCUAAUGACAAUAAAGAUAUUCUAUCUAUAUCUAUAUCAUCUAGGUAUGAAUGAACUCUUAAUGGGAUAUUCCCCGUUUUGUAUGUUUUUUCCCCCCCUCAGUCCUCUUUGUCUCUGAAAAGUUGGGGAAUCCUUUAGAAUUAUAUUGAAAAUAGCAUUGAUCUGGGAAAUAUACAGGGAAGCAUAAUUCAUGAAAAUUACUUUCUUCUUAGUUAAUGAAGCUUCCAUUAAAUCAAAUAUCAAAAGUUCCUCUAAUUGUGAAACAAGUCCCAUGGAAUUAGUUAGAGUGCAGUACUGUAGGCCACUUUAGCUGACUGUGUUCAGCAGGUCAGCGGUUCAAA